GUAGUCGAAAACUCCAACUGCGCCUUACCUUAGGGUUGCGAGGACACCUCAAGGCUCAACGUUAUUUUCAUAAGAUAUGCAGAGGGUUCCAUUUCUAAUGUCUUUGUGGGUUUUCACGGGUGCAGAUCCUGAUUGACAAGGAAGAACAAAAACAGAUAUAACAACAGUGAGACCAAAUGGGAGAUCCAAUGAAAAAAAAAACAGCAACAGAUCAACCGAGGUCUAUAGAUUCCAACUGCCUCACAACUGCCGCCAGAGAGGUCAGAUUGUCCAGAGCGCUGCCACUUCCUCCGCCAACACCGCUGUGUCAGAUGUUAAACUGCAGCUCCAGGAGGAGGACCGCAGCAAUGGCUUCAAUUUCCACUUUUGCUUCUGCGUGGUCCGAAUUUGCCAGGAAUGUGUCCGGUGAAUGGGAUGGCCAUGGAGCAGACUUCACAAGGGAAGGGUGCCCAAUAGAACUUCCAGAGAAUGUUGUACCUACAGCUUACAGGGAGUCGGAGGUUAAGGUUUUCGAUUGGCAGACUCAAUGCCCCACUCUUGCUAACCCAGAUGAGCACACUCUUUUACACAAGAAUAUAGAUUUACUUCCUGCCGUUGGAUGUGAAGCUGAUGCUGACACUCAAUGACUCCAGAGAUUGUUGAUGAUCCAUUCCAAACUAUGUGAGUUUUCAAGAAGAGCUAGCCAAUUUAACAUGAGCGGAUAUGAGGGAAUCUGAUUUCAGUGGUUCAACUUUCAAUGGUGCAUACAUGGAGAAAGCUGUCACAUAUAAGGCAAACUUUGAGGGAAGAGCACGGUGGCGUGUGCUUUGAGUGGGAAUUUGUACCGCAGGAGAAUAUGUUGUACAUUCUUGAUGGGGACAUUGUCAGGCAUGGCUUGAAUCGCGACCUUAGUUUUAAAGCAGAACAUCGUGCAGAGAACAUUCAGAGGAUUGGUAGUACGUGAUCAACUUGGGAAAGAACAGAGGAGAGCACAAGCAUUAUCAAUUUAUUUGCUAUAGUAUUGUCCCUCUUCCUCUGGCCUCCUGAAGUGUUUCCAUUCCAGUGUCACCAUCUUUUGUUUCAUUCAUUUGUAGAAUAUAUUCUUCUUUUGUCUAUACCUUUAUUACCUCCUUUUAACUUUGAUUAUCUGUACUUGAUGAGUAUUAUUAGACCCAUUCUCAAAACUUUGCAUCCCCUGCUUCUUUCUUAUGGUCCUUAUACUCAAACAUGUCCAAGUUUGUAUUUUUCUGAUGGAUUGAACUAUUGGGAACUUAGGUACUUUUACUUUUUA